rnacentral:rRNA from 1 species
UACGGGGGGAGCAAGCGUUGUUCGGAUUUACUGGGCGUAAAGGGCGCGUAGGCGGCCACCGCAAGUCAAUUGUGAAAUCUCCGGGCUUAGCUCGGAAAGGUCAACUGAUACUGCGGGGCUAGAGUGCGGAAGGGGCAACUGGAAUUCUCGGUGUAGCGGUGAAAUGCGUAGAUAUCUGGAGGAACACCGGUGGCGAAGGCGGCAUCCUGGACCGAUAUUGACGCUGAGGAGCGAAAGCCAGGGGAGCAAACGGG